UACAUUAAUAUAAAACCAUCGCUAAGGAACUAACUCGGUUAAUCCUUCUCGUGCCAUCACUGAGGACGAGUUUACUAGAGAAAAGAUAAAUUACAAUAACAACAAGAUGCGUUAUUCAGGAGCCACAAUCAUGAUAUUGUGUCUCCUCGUGGUAUUAACAAUGUUUCAAUAUACUUCGUCGCGGCGACUCCCUACAACCACUACAUGUCGAUUUAAUACCGACUGUGCUGCAGAUAGAAGCUGUAUAAUUUAUACGUGUAUAAAUCCUUGCCUCCUUGUUGUGACUCAUAAUAUAUGCCCAUUUAAUUGUACAGUUGUAAACCACCAACCAAUAUGCCAGAACUAAUAUAUCCGGCGCAGGUGGGAAGUGCAUUAUUAAUUUUUCGAAAUGGAUGCACAUAUAUACACCUUUAUAUAUAUUCAUGCACAUAUAUAAAUAUAUAUAUAUAUAUAUAUAUAUAUAUAUAUAUCAAUGCACACAUCUAUGAUAUAUUAACUUGAUUAUUCAUAUAAAACAUUUUAUGCUUUACAUAUUAUAA